UACAGAGGUCUCAAGCGUUGUUCGGAUUCAUUGGGCGUAAAGGGCGCGUAGGCGGCGGGGCAAGUCGGGUGUGAAAUCUCAGAGCUCAACUCUGAAAUGGCACUUGAUACUGCUCUGCUAGAGGACUGGAGAGGAGAUUGGAAUUCACGGUGUAGCAGUGAAAUGCGUAGAUAUCGUGAGGAAGACCGGUGGCGAAGGCGGAUCUCUGGACAGGUCCUGACGCUGAGGCGCGAAGGCCAGGGGAGCAAACGGG
rnacentral:rRNA from 1 species